GACGAACCGUACGACCGUUAUUCGGAAUCACUGGGCUUAAAGGGUGCGUAGGCUGCGCGGAAAGUUGGGUGUGAAAUCCCUCGGCUCAACCGAGGAACUGCGCCCAAAACUGCCGUGCUGGAGUGUGGGAGAGGUGAGUGGAAUUCCCGGUGUAGCGGUGAAAUGCGUAGAGAUCGGGAGGAACACCUGCGGCGAAAGCGGCUCACUGGACCAUAACUGACGCUGAUGCACGAAAGCUAGGGGAGCAAACAGG
rnacentral:rRNA from 1 species